rnacentral:rRNA from 1 species
CCUACGGGUGGCAGCAGUGGGGAAUUUUGCGCAAUGCUCGUAAGAGUGACGCAGCGACGCCGCGUGAAUGACGAAGGCCUUCGGGUCGUAAAGUUCUUUCGACAGGGACGAAAAUGCCUAUAAGUAACUGUGUAUGUAUUGACGGUACCUGUAUAAGCAGCCCCGGCUAACUCCGUGCCAGCAGCCGCGGUAAUACGGAGGGGGCGAGCGUUGUUCGGAGUGACUGGGCGUAAAGAGCACGUAGGCGGUAUUGAAAGUCAUUAGUAAAAGACUAGAGCUCAACUUUUGUAAGGCUAGUGAAACGAUAAUAAUGGGGUAUCAGGGAGGAUUGCAGAAUUCCUGGGGUAGCGGUGAAAUGGGUAGAUAUCAGGAGGAAUACCGUUAGCGAAGGCGGCAAUCUGGCUGGAAACGGACGCUGAGGUGCGAAAGCGUGGGUAGCAAACAGGAUUAGAUACCCUGUAGUC